GAACCAGCGGAGGGAUCAUUACUGAGUUUACGCUCUACAACCCUUUGUGAACAUACCUAUAACUGUUGCUUCGGCGGGUAGGGUCUCCGCGACCCUCCCGGCCUCCCGCCUCCGGGCGGGUCGGCGCCCGCCGGAGGAUAACCAAACUCUGAUUUAACGACGUUUCUUCUGAGUGGUACAAGCAAAUAAUCAAAACUUUUAACAACGGAUCUCUUGGUUCUGGCAUCGAUGAAGAACGCAGCGAAAUGCGAUAAGUAAUGUGAAUUGCAGAAUUCAGUGAAUCAUCGAAUCUUUGAACGCACAUUGCGCCCGCCAGCAUUCUGGCGGGCAUGCCUGUUCGAGCGUCAUUUCAACCCUCAAGCUCUGCUUGGUGUUGGGGCCCUACAGCCGAUGUAGGCCCUCAAAGGUAGUGGCGGACCCUCCCGGAGCCUCCUUUGCGUAGUAACUUUACGUCUCGCACUGGGAUCCGGAGGGACUCUUGCCGUAAAACCCCCCAAUUUUCCAAAGGUUGACCUCGGAUCAGGUAGGAAUAC
rnacentral:rRNA from 1 species